AGGGAAUCUUCCACAAUGGACGCAAGUCUGAUGGAGCAACGCCGCGUGAGUGAAGAAGGUUUUCGGACCGUAAAGCUCUGUUGUUGGUGAAGAAGGAUAGAGGUAGUAACUGGCCUUUAUUUGACGGUAAUCAACCAGAAAGUCACGGCUAACUACGUGCCAGCAGCCGCGGUAAUACGUAGGUGGCAAGCGUUGUCCGGAUUUAUUGGGCGUAAAGCGAGCGCAGGCGGAAGAAUAAGUCUGAUGUGAAAGCCCUCGGCUUAACCGAGGAAUUGCAUCGGAAACUGUUUUCUUGAGUGCAGAAGAGGAGAGUAGAACUCCAUGUGUAGCGGUGGAAUGCGUAGAUAUAUGGAAGAAUACCAGUGGCGAAGGCGGCUCUCUGGUCUGCAACUGACGCUGAGGCUCGAAAGCAUGGGUAGCGAGCAGGAUUAGAUACCCUGGUAGUCCAUGCCGUAAACGAUGAGUGCUAAGUGUUGGGAGGCUUCCGCCUCUCAGUGCUGCAGCUAACGCAUUAAGCACUCCGCCUGGGGGAGUACGACCGCAAGGUUGAAAC
rnacentral:rRNA from 1 species